GAUGAAGAACGUAGCGAAAUGCGAUAAGUAGUGUGAAUUGCAGAAUUCAGUGAAUCAUCGAAUCUUUGAACGCACAUUGCGCCCGCUAGUAUUCUAGCGGGCAUGCCUGUUCGAGCGUCAUUUCAACCAUCAAGCCCCAGGCUUGUGUUGGAGCCCUGCGGCCGUCCGCAGCCUCCUAAAAUCAGUGGCGGGCUCGCUAUCACACCGAGUGCAGUAGUUUACUCUUCGCUCAGGACGUGUAGCGGGUUCCGGCCGUGAAACCCCCCAAUUUUCAAGGUUGACCUCGGAUCAGGUAGGAAUACCCGCUGAACUUAAGCAUAUCAAUAAGCGGAGG
rnacentral:misc_RNA from 1 species